rnacentral:lncRNA from 1 species
GGAGACAUUUGGUAUCUGGGGAAACAGCAGUACAGCUGUAACAGAAGCCCACAGAAAGCGGCGAAUGGAUGGACACUUUGCCCAGCCACCCUGGUGAGACCUCCCCAUGGCCACUGGACGGCUCUGUGCAGGCAACAGAGAUGCAGGCUUUGCCUUGUUAAUAGAGGACUGACACAUGACCCUCAUCAGAACAUACCACAUACACUUUCUGCGUCCAUGCUCACUGGAGAUGGAACUGCCUGGCUCUCUAGGCUGCUACCUGGCCUCUCUAGUGCCUUUUUCAACACCUGAAAGCCAGGACCGAAGUAUUUCUCCGCGAUGGACGCGAUGGCCUUGAUGGAGUCGCCGGCAGCUCCCGAGGCCGUCAGCAGCUGUUCCUCGGGUGGCGGGAAGAAGGAAUGCUGCUGUCUCCACAGCCCUGAUUGUGUAGGGCAGUGGUGCCAGCGGACCAGGACCUUUAUGGACAUGGUUCGCUUCUCUGUGCCCGGAACAACAUGGAGUUUUGAGGAGGGAACCUCUCCUCCAUGGAAGCGUCGUAGUCCUGGGCUGUAUCCGGCAAUCCUAACACCGGGUCCCCUGCAGAGCCAGGUGUCAGAGGCACAGCUGAGCCUAUGCACUGAUACCCAUGUGACACCAUGCUUACUGGUCAUAUCUGGGUGGCAGGGAACGGACAUGUGUAUGCUUAGGGAUGACUGGGUGGACAGUACUUCUGACCCAGAUAAUCCAAUUUUUGCCAGGGGCUAGACAGCCUGGCCUCACUGGCUUACCUUAGCCAUAUCUCUUUUUGGGGGUGGGGGAAAUGAAACUAUGGAAGGAAGUGCUAUGGGUCCUUUGGGUAAGUGGAAUUCCUUCCUACAUAAAAUCCUGCUGUGCUGU